rnacentral:misc_RNA from 1 species
AAUAUACAGGUGAUGCUCCUGUGUAAUCAUUGGAGUAUUAAAGAUGGAGGUAGAACCAUUUUCUGAUGACAAGCAGAAUGUUUUGUUUGAUAUCAAACUGAUAAAAAAUGAAGAUGAAACUUUCACAAUAACUGAUACUCCAGGAAAAGUUGAUUCCUUGGAAGAAAGUUUUCUACAUACUGUUUUGAAGUUUGGUAAAACAGAAAAUAAAGAAACAACUUGUGAUGUAGCAUCAGAGAAAAUUGAGAACAUGUCUGUUCAAGUGAAAAUGGAACAGCCUGAUGAUCUACUACAAGUUGUUUCAAAGUUCAGUUACAGUGAUGAUGAGAAUCAGGAUAGUUCAUUCUAUAAUGUUGUGAACCUGACAACAGAAACUGAAUUUCAAAGAGAGAUUGAAUCAGGGUUAGAGAGAACAUGUGAUAAAGAGACCAGUGUGAACAUCUGUUCUGGAAGUCAGUUUCCUGGUUAUUUUAUAAAACAAGAAAAUCACUUUACAGAAGACGUAAAAUCUGAAACUAACAAUAUUAGUGGAGAAACAAAAUUAAGUGGAAAUAACCUAAAAGCAUCCAACAAACAUCAGUGUGAUGAUAAACUAUACAGUUGUGGAAAAACAUUUGAUAACCUAACACAACAAAAGAAGACGUAUUCUUUAGAGAAACCGUAUCAUUGUGUAGUUUGUGGAAAACAAUUUCAGAAUAAUAGUCGCUUAAAAAAACAUGAAAGAAUACACACUGGGGAGAAACCUUACAGUUGUACAGUGUGUGAAAAUCGGUUGGAACAAAGGGUCACUUAAAAGUACAUGAAAGAGUACACACUGGUCUGAAACCUUACAGUUGUACAGUGUGUGAAAAACAGUUUAGAGAAAAGGAUCGUUUAAAAGUAGAUGAAAGAAUACACAGUGGGGAGAAACAUUACAACUGUACAGAUUGCAGAAACAGUUUGUAACAAAGAGUCCUUUAAAAAUACAUGAAAGUACACACACUGAGGAAAAACUGUAUUAUCUGCUUGGGAAAAAAGGAGAAUCCUUAUAGUUGUACAAUGUGUGAAAAAGACUGAAUAAAGUAGUACCUUAACAUAUGAAUGUAUACAUAAUUAAUAGAAACCCAGAAGUUGUGAGUUUUGUAGAAAGCUAUUUCAUAGUAACUCUUAAGUUAAAAAACAUGAAGGGAAUACAUACUGGGGUGAAACCUUACAGUUUUUCAGUUUAUUGAAAAAGUUUGCAACAAAAGAUAGAUUAAAAAUACUUGAGAGAAAACA